rnacentral:rRNA from 1 species
AUUGAACGCUGGCGGCAGGCCUAACACAUGCAAGUCGAGCGGAGCGGCGGACGGGUGAGUAAUGCCUAGGAAUCUGCCUGGUAGUGGGGGAUAACGUCCGGAAACGGUCGCUACUACCGCAUACUAUCAGAUGAGCCUAGGGCGGAUUAGCUAGUUGUUGGGGUAAAGGCCUACCAAGGCGACGAUCCGUAACUGGUCUGAGAGGAUGAUCAGUCAAAUGGAAACGGAGACAAGGUCCAGAAUCCUACGGGAGGCAGCAGUGGGGAAUAUUGGACAAUGGGCGAAAGCCUGGUCAAGCCAUGACGCGUGUGUGAAGAAGGUCUUCGGAUGGUAAAGCACGUUAAGUUGGGAGGCGUUACCAACAGAAUAAGCACAGGCUAACUUCGUGCCAGCAGCCGCGGUAAUAG